ACAGUCUAGGGGUAUGAUUUUCGCUUCGCAUCAUCUGAUAGCACUUGUGAAAGGUCGUGGGUUCAAUUCCCACAGCG